GACGAACGCUGGCGGCGUGCCUAAUACAUGCAAGUAGAACGCACAGUUUAUACCGUAGCUUGCUACACCAUAGACUGUGAGUUGCGAACGGGUGAGUAACGCGUAGGUAACCUGCCUGGUAGCGGGGGAUAACUAUUGGAAACGAUAGCUAAUACCGCAUAAUAUUGAUUAUUGCAUGAUAAUUGAUUGAAAGAUGCUAUUGCAUCACUACCAGAUGGACCUGCGUUGUAUUAGCUAGUAGGUGAGGUAACGGCUCACCUAGGCGACGAUACAUAGCCGACCUGAGAGGGUGAUCGGCCACACUGGGACUGAGACACGGCCCAGACUCCUACGGGAGGCAGCAGUAGGGAAUCUUCGGCAAUGGACGAAAGUCUGACCGAGCAACGCCGCGUGAGUGAAGAAGGUUUUCGGAUCGUAAAGCUCUGUUGUAAGAGAAGAACGGGUGUGUGAGUGGAAAGUUCACACUGUGACGGUAUCUUACCAGAAAGGGACGGCUAACUACGUG
rnacentral:rRNA from 1 species